rnacentral:rRNA from 1 species
AGUGAACGCUGGCGGUAGGCCUAACACAUGCAAGUCGAACGGAAGCACAGUAAGCGCUUGCUCCUACGGUUGGCGACUGGCGGACGGGUGACGAAUACAUCAGCAUCUUAUAUUUCUUGGGGGACUACGUAGAGCAACUUAUGCUAAUAGCGAAUAUGAUGUACCGGUUAAAUCAGAGGUUCUUCGGAGCUUGCGCGUUACUUUUAGCCGGAUUCGCGCUGCAUUAGCUAAUUGGUAAGGUAACGGCCUACCAAGGCGACGAUGCGUAGCCGAUCUGAGAGGAUGAUCAGCCACACUGGAACUGAGACACGGUCCAGACUCCUACGGGAGGCAGCAGUGGGGAAUCUUCGGCAAUGGGCGCAAGCCUGAUCCAGCCAUGCCGCGUGGGUGAUGAAGGCCUUCGGAUUGUAAAGCUCUGUUAUUAGGGAAGAAAAUCUGUAGGAGAAUCCCUCGCCGUUCUGACGGUACCCAAAGAAUAAGCACCGGCUAACUACGUG